rnacentral:rRNA from 1 species
UACGUAGGGCGCAAGCGUUAUCCGGAAUUAUUGGGCGUAAAGAGCUCGUAGGCGGUUUGUCGCGUCUGCCGUGAAAGUCCGGGGCUUAACCCCGGAUCUGCGGUGGGUACGGGCAGACUAGAGUGCAGUAGGGGAGACUGGAAUUCCUGGUGUAGCGGUGAAAUGCGCAGAUAUCAGGAGGAACACCGAUGGCGAAGGCAGGUCUCUGGGCUGUAACUGACGCUGAGGAGCGAAAGCAUGGGGAGCGAACAG